ACCUAAACAAAUUUAAAAAGUUAAGCUUUUAAAUAACUAUUAAAGAUAUUAUCCCCUUGUAGUGUAGUUUAAUAGCUAUCUACAUAUUAACUUUAUAUAAAGUAUAAUAGUUUAUAUUUUAUAAUAUGACGUUAACAAUUUUGUUUAAUAUUUGAAAAUGUUAGUAUUAGUAAUAUUAGUAUAUGUGCUAAAGGAACUCGGCAAAAAACCACUCAACUGUUUAUCAAAAACAUAGCUAUAUGAAUUAAUAUAUAGUUAUUUCUGCUCAAUGAUUUAAAUAGCCGCAGUACUCUGACUGUGCAAAGGUAGCAUAAUCAGUUGGCUUUUAAUUAGAGUCUGGUAUGAACGAAAAUAUGGGUAGUAACUGUCUUAGCACAUUUUUUCGAACUUAUUAAACAAGUGCAAAUGCUUGUAAUUUAACAAUAGACGAGAAGACCCUAGAAACUUGGACAAGUUUUUGUUGGGGCGACAGAAUUACACUUAACUAAUCUUAUAAUACACGACGCGAUGUUGAAAGAAUAAGUUACUCUAGGGAUAACAGCAUAAUUUCAUUAGUUUGUGACCUCGAUGUUGGACUAGGUACUAUACCCUUAAGGCAAGGAUAUAUUAUGCUCUGUUCGAGCAAAAUUACCUACAUGAUCUGAGUUCAGAC
rnacentral:rRNA from 1 species